UAGCAUUCAGCAUGAGUUUACUAUGAAUAAAUUAUCCUGGGCAGCCUCAUUUCCUUUUUAUUGAUAAAACUUCUGUUAAUAGAAGAGUAACCAUAUGAUGAAUAGUGGUGAUUUUAACACUGAUUUUAACACUGUUGAUUUAACAGUGUAUAUGAAAAAGUCACCAAGAUCCUCAUAGACAAGGUUGUAAAAGGCAACAAGAGCUAAACUCCAUCUCAAAAAAAAAAAAUAAAUAAAAUAAAAGAUAUGGGUAAGGUGCUUAACCUUGAUUUCCUGACUAAUUCAUUCAUGUAGUAGCUGCCAACUUCCUUGGUACAAGGGCUAUGAUGCAACCCUCAUAAUUGCUGGUGGGAAUGUAAAAUGGUGCAGCCUCUGUGGAAAACAGUCUGGCAGUUCCUCAAAAGGUUAAACAUAGAGUUACCAGCAGUACAUGAAUGUUUAU
rnacentral:lncRNA from 1 species